rnacentral:rRNA from 1 species
UACGUAGGGGGCAAGCGUUGUCCGGAAUCAUUGGGCGUAAAGCGCGUGUAGGCGGCUCGAUAAGUCUGCUGUGAAAGUCCAGGGCUCAACCCUGGGAUGCCGGUGGAUACUGUCGAGCUCGAGUCCGGAAGAGGCGAGUGGAAUUCCUGGUGUAGCGGUGAAAUGCGCAGAUAUCAGGAGAAACACCAAUGGCGAAGGCAGCUCGCUGGGACGUGACUGACGCUGAGACGCGAAAGCGUGGGGAGCAAACAGG